rnacentral:rRNA from 1 species
GUCUACAGCCAUGUCGCCCUAAUCAAGCCGAUCCCAUCUGAUCUCGGAAGCUAAUCAGGGUCCAGCCUGGUUAGUACUUGGAUGGGAGACCUGGUUAGUACCUAGGAAGACCUGAUGCUGUAGGCG